ACAUCCACAUUACACAAGCCUUCUGUGAUUGCGCACCACACCCAGCCCUCCUCCAGGCAGUUGCUUGUGACCAAGGAGGACACGGAGGAUUACAAAAACAUGGCGGACUCUUCAGAAGAGCUCAUUAUCUUCACUCGAGCUUCUGAGCAAGAAAGCUGCCGGACGCCCCAAUCCUCUGAACAUAGUCACACUGAGAAACACAGAGAGAGUUGUAUGGAGCUGAUCGUCUUAUUUAGCUUCAUAGCAACUCAUAUGGCAAUGGCUUUAAUUUAACAGACGUCCAUUGAUGUCAAAAAGUUACACACUAGAGC